UUAAUUGGGAUUAUGGAAGUCAAUUCAAGUCACAGUAGUGAGAUUAUUGUGUUAAUUACCACUUGCUCAGGUUAUUACAACCCUCAAUUGCUUUGUUUUUGCCUUUAAAUUUCAGUCAAGUUAAUAAUGUUUUUCUUUGUGCAACUUUGUUCUUGGAACCUGCAAUUUGUAGGGAUCUGAAUGAAAAAUGUAUUGGGAAGGUGAAAAGUGAUAAAGUAAAAGGGCAGAGUGAUAGAGAGGAUUUUAAUUUGAAAGAUUGAAGUUUUUAAGGAGAUAUUCUCUUGUCGGUGCCUUUCUCUUGCUUUUCUGUGUCUAAGACUAUAUUUGAAUACUCAAAUUAAAUUUGAAAACUAUAUAUUUCUUUGA
rnacentral:lncRNA from 1 species